rnacentral:rRNA from 1 species
UGGGGCCCAGAUCGUUUACCGUGAAAAAAUUAGAGUGUUCAAAGCAGGCAGAUCCAAUUUUCUGCCACCGAAUACAUUAGCAUGGGAUAAUGGAAUAGGACCCUGUCCUCCUAUUUUCAGUUGGUUUUGGCAGCGCGAGGACUAGGGUAAUGAUUAAUAGGGAUAGUUGGGGGCAUUAAUAUUUAAUUGUCAGAGGUGAAAUUCUUGGAUUUAUGAAAGAUUAACUUCUGCGAAAGCAUCUGCCAAGGAUGUUUUCAUUAAUCAAGAACGAAAGUUAGGGGAUCGAAGACGAUCAGAUACCGUCGUAGUCUUAACCAUAAACGAUGCCGACCAGCGAUUAGGAGACGUUGAAUACAAAACACCACCAUCGGUUGCGGUCAUCCUUGGCGUCUCGGUUUCGGCCGGGGCGCGGGGAUGGCUUAGCCCGGUGGCACCGGUGAAUGACUCCCCUAGCAGCUUGUGAGAAA